GCUGUGAUGGCUGAGUAGCUAAGGUGUUAGACUCAAAAUCCAAGAGGGUUUCCCUGCGCAGGUUCAAAUCCUGCUCACAGCA